UGAGUCGGAUGCCAUUUGACAUGGGGCCGAUGUUGGCGGGGACCUCCGCAUCCAUUUCUAUCCCCUCGCCCUUUUUGUCCUAUUCAGUCCUGUCCUCCUUUCGUCGUAUAGCUUCGCACAAGUGCCGCGCGGCUCCCACCGGAAUGCCCUUUUCAUACACACUGCAAGUUUGUAUUUAGAUGCAUAACAUCUAUUAAAGAUAAUUAAUAUCCUAUCCAUCGUCAUUAACUAAUCAAGUGAAAAACCUACUCACUAACGCUCUUUCGAUCUACCCAUUGUUUAAAAAAUGUCAUUAUAAUCAGUUGCUCCGAAACCUAUAAAUAAUAUUCAUCCAAAGUCGAUUAAUAAUAUUAAAAAUAUAUGAUAUUCUCUCAAUCAUUUUAUUAGAUUAAAUUAUAAUAAAUAAUAUAAAAAUUAAUUUAUAGAUUAAAUCUCAUAUGUGUUAUGUUGGAGUUUGACCCGUAGCCUUACUUGAGAAAGAUUGUAACGCCCCAAUUUAACCCCACAUCAAAAUGGCAUAGACUUGAAUUCAUAUAUUAGAGUGUGAUAGAUGUAUUAUUAUUAAUUUAGAUUUAAAUGUUUUCGGUUUAUCGAUUUAAUAGAGAUCAUGUCAUGACAAUAAACACUAAAAAUCUUAAACUCACAAAUCUACUACUAAAAGCUUCAGACACUCCGGACGUUGACCCUAAAGCUUUUGAGCAAACACCAAUGAAACCUAGCAGCCAUCAGAAGCUCCCAUCAUUGCGCUCAUCAAUGCUAAGAGGCUCCUGAUGACGAUGACUAAGGUGAUGCUGGCGAAGCUUCGUCGAAGAUGAUAGCCCCCCCAGUUGUCCAAGUUAUCCAAUGGUGCCGAUGAGGAUGAUGAUGACAGACAAACAAGCAAAACAUCCACAAUGGCAUUUGUUUUAGCUGUUCUUGACGCGACAAAUCUUGAAAGAUCUGAAUGAACAAGUUUUUCUUGAAAUGCAGAUGCAUGUCACUGUAUAUGUCAAGCAACAGAAUUAGAUCAACAGAGAUCAAUAUGGCUUGCACUCAAAAUAUCAAUGUAGCCAAUGGCGAUCAUACAAGUGACAUGUAGAACACAUAUGAAGCUACCAAUAUCUAACAAGUAAAGCCAAAGUUUAGGCUGUAAUAAGUCAACAUGAAGUUUUGAAUAAGUUCUUCUACUUAUCAUUUCUUGUUUUCUAAAAGCAACCAGAAACACAUUAAGUCAGAAACAUAAGCUCUUAAAAUAGCAAGUGAAAUCAAGCAUAUGAGGAAUAAUCUAUUGGUAUGAAACCAGUGAAACUUUAUACUGAUUCAGAAAAUUAAGUAUAUACUAUAAUAUAAAUAAAACAUGCAGUAGAUUUGUUGAUAAUAGAUUUAUGCUCGCUCUACUUUGUAUAAAAACUGACUUCCAUCACGAUCUACCAUGUAUAUAACAAGGAACGUUUAGGCUGUAACAAGCCAACAUGGAGUUUUCAAUGAGUUAUCCUAUUUUUCAUUUCUUGUUCUCUAAGAGCAACCAGAAAGACCUCAAGUCAUAAACAAAAGUUAUUAACAUAGCAAGUGAAAUCAAACAAAUAGAGGAAUACUCUAUUUGUAUGAAAUCAGUGAAACUUUAUACAGAUUUAGAAAAUUAAUGUAUACACUAUAAUAUUGAUAAAACAUACAGCAGAUUUGUUGAUAAUAGAUUUAUUAUGCUCGCUCGACUUUGCAUAAAUAUUGGCUUCAUCACAAUCUACCAUAUAUCUAACAAGGAAAGCCAAAGUUUAGGCUGUAAUAAGCCAACAUGGAGUUUCCAAUGAGUUGUCCUUUUUCUCAUUUCUUGUCUUCUAAGAGCAACCAGAAAAGACCUCAAGGCAUAAAAACAAACUCUUAAAAUAGAAAAUGAAACCAAGGAAUACUCUAUUGGUACAAAACCGGUGAAACUUUUUACUUAUUUAGAAAAUUUAAGUAUAAACUAUAAUAUUGGUAAAACAUAGAGUAGACUUGUUGAUCACAGAUUUAUUCUCAUUCUAAUUUGCAUAAAAACAGUUUUCACCUCAAUUUAUCAUAAUCAGCCAAAGUUUAGGCCGUAAUAAGCCAACAUGAAAAAAACAAUCCAACAUGAAGUUUUCAACGAGUUCUUCUAUUUUUCAUUUCUUGUAUUGUAAGAGCAACCAGAGAAAUAAAUCAUAACAAUAUAUUUAUGCUCACUCUACUUUGCUUAAGGACUUCAUGUAUGAAAAUCUAACACUAACCACUGACAAUUAUUAGAAAAGAACACUACAUUUGUUGUAAACUUAGUCACCUGGAGUGGGUUCAAUUGACCAUCUCCAGCGGUUUAGCUCUAUGAAGGUCCAUGUUUCCAUUAAUCCAAAAGACCAUUUCUUCGUUCUGGAACAUAUGAACCUUCACAUGCAGAAACCCUCGGUUCUAGCUUAAGACUGGAUCUACUAUUUUGACCUCAGACCGAUCACAAGAGAACCAAUCAAUACUAUCCCAAGGCAAAAUGAAAUCAUAAAUUGGUAGCAACCAUGAAAGCAGAAUUCAACUGAACUUAAUCCCGACGAUCUCCAUUGCCGAAACCUUAACAGAGAAAUCCAAAUACCAAUAGUCAAAUUAAAACCAAACUACCAAAGAGAUAAGCUACAAAUCCUAUAAGCCCAUAAGUCCAGGAGAAACAAAAUAGAGGCAGAAAAAGGCGCUAGAUCUCGGCCAGCGUAAACGCGAGUUUGAUGAGGAAGAGGAGCGGCAGACCGACCUGAGAGAGAGACCUUC
rnacentral:lncRNA from 1 species